ensembl:misc_RNA 7SK 7SK RNA
GGGUGUGAGGGCCAUCUGGCUGUGACAUCUGUCACCCCAAUGAUCUCCAGGGUCGAUUCGGCUGAUCUGACUGGCCAGGCAGGUGUCCUCUUCCUCCCUCUCCACUCCAUGUGCGUCCCUCCCAAAGCUGCAUGCUCAGUUGAAGAGGACAACCAUCCCCGAUAGAGGAGGUCCUGUCUUCAGUGAAGGGUAUAUGGGUAGCUGUGCUUCCCUGCUAGAACCUCCAAACAAGAUCAAGAGAAGCUACAUUCUGAAAGACCUCAUGGAGAAGUUGUAACCUAUAACUUGGUAUCAUAAACAUUUGAAUGAUCCACUGCAUUGUGGUAGUUUGACCCUGUC